rnacentral:hammerhead_ribozyme from 1 species
GUCCAGCUGACGAGUUCCAAAUAGGACGAAAUGCGCGUCCUGUAU